AUGUGGAUUUUGCAAAACCACAAGUGGAACUUCAGGCAACACAUGGUCCUAAUGUUUCCCCUAGAAGGACAUGGAUAUUCCAAUGGAAUGACACAUGGAAAUUUAACUUCAUCAUCAUCCUGCAAUGUUUCAUUCAUGACAGUGUCACGUAUGGACAAAUGUAAGUCUCCACUUGAGUUUCUGUGAUACAGGAUCCUCUUAGCCAGCAGUGACAAAGAUGUAAGUGAAAGUAGUGGAACCUACAAAUUCAUCACUGUGCAUCAGGUAAGAGGAUUGCUUAUCUGCUCUUAACAUAAUAAUUGGAUCACUGGAAAGAAGUAUUUGGAGGUGCAUUUUAAGAAAUAGAUGCUAACCAAGGAAAUAGUUGCUUCCUAAUCAUAGCAACUCUCCUUCUCUGCAUACUGCUGUCUUAGAAUCAUUUUGUUCAAAUUCUUUCGUUUACUAAUACCUAAGGAGGAUUAAGAUAAGUUUUAGAACAAGUAAUCCUAGGGCCUGGAAAGGCAAAAUUUAUUAAACAACAAUUUUCAGUUUAAGUUGAGGUUUUCAACCAUUUAUCUACUAUUUUAUUGCAAUGGGUCUCUCUCUAUCUUUCAGAGAAAUAGUUAAUCUAGUGUUAAGAGUUCUUUGGAUCCAAGUUACAGCACUGAGAUCAAUAUUAGAAAAUGUUAAAGAAACAGAUAAAAGUUGGACAGCUGAAGGUUUUCAACAUCAGUGAUUUUAUUGAACAAAAUAUAUACUCUCAAAGGUAAUAAUUCUCAAACUUUCAUAAUGGAUCCAAACUAUGUCUGAUAAUUUUCUGGCAAACUAAAAUAAUCUCAAUGGAUUCCCUGGAUUUAGAAAAUGUCAAAGUAAUGAGAAUUUAAAUGAGACGGCCCAGUUAUUCGCAAUUAAAUUAUACAACAGUUAUAAUUUUAAGACUAUAAGCUCCAAAAUGCUAUCAAGUAGCUUUAUGAAUUAUAGAAGAUGAAAGGGGAUAAAAUACUACAUAGGAGCUGAAACUGAUUACUUCUUAUCUUACUCUCUUUGUUAGACACAGGCAGCAUAUGCUCGUUAUAAUAUUUAAUGAGUAAUGCUGAGCUGUCAUAAUCCCAGCUUCUAUCUUUUCACAAAGCUGUUUAUCUUAUUAUAAAUCUAAACUCUAGUUGUUGUGGGACUCAGGGUGAGAGAAUCAGUCUUGUGUAUAUUAAUUGAAGCUUAUGGUGGGGGAUUUAGCCUGCAGAUUAGUGAUGUUACAAGGAAAUUGUAAGGAAAAGAAAGUUUUCUCCUCUAUAGCACACAUUAGCACAUUUUGUAUGGUAACAUGACUUAGGGGGAAAUGAUACCUUAAGAGUUUUUCAAAACAUAUGUAUUAAAGAUUCAGGGAUUUCCUAUACCUUACAUAGAAAAUCAAAAUAUACUGUAAGCAUGUAAGCAUGGCAUAGAAAAAAAAAGUGUGAAUUUUAUAUUCAAAGAACCAUAGUUUCCUUCUUUUGCUUCUCUUUUGUUUUAAUUCUUUUAACCUAGAAUUGAGCAAAUAUUUUUUUAGCAUGCCAUGUGUGCCAGGUUCUAUAUGAGAUAUUUGUACUCCCAUGCAGUGGCUGAGAAUCUAUGAAAAGUUAUAUAACUGCUCUGAGUCUAUUUCUUUUUUUUUUUUAAUUGGAAUAAUGUCUCACACCGUUCAGUCUACUUUAUCAAAAUAUAGACUAGGUGGCUUGUAAAUAACAAAUUUAUUUCUCAGAGUUCUAGAGGCUAGGAAGUCUAAGAUCAAGAUGCAGAUUUGUUGCCUUUUGAGGGUCAAAUUUAUGAUUCAUAGAUUUCCAUCUUUCCCUUGCUUCAUGGGGCAGAGGAUGAAGAAUCUCUCUGGGGUCUCUUUCAUUAGGGUACUAACCCCAUUCAUGAGGACUCUGCCCUCAUGACCUAACCACCUCCCAAAGGACCCACCUCCAAAUAAUAUCCCUUGGGUUAUUAGGAUUUCAACAUACGAAUUUGGUGAGGGGGUGGGCACAAAUAUUCACUCUACAGCACACAAUAUCAUUAGCUUCUUCAAAUUUUGCAAAGAGAAGGUAAGAUAGUGCAUGUCUUGGUAAAACGUGGUGGCCCAUGAAUAAAUAAUAGACAUUACUCUUUUACCUAAACA
ensembl:lncRNA